AUGAUGGGAUGCAGGACAGCUCUGCUGCUGUUCACUCUCUGCUGGGCAGGUGCUGAUGCUCAGACGCUGACAGAAUCUGAGGCUGUUGUUAAAAGGCCUGGAGAAUCCCACACACUGACCUGCACAGCCAGUGGGCUGACAGUCAGUGGCCACUGGAUGGGCUGGGUCAGACAGGCUGCUGGUGGAGGGCUGCAGUGGAUCGCCACCAUUGAUGUCACCAGCAAAUACUACCGUCAGUCAGUUCAAGGCCGGUUCACCGUCUCCAGAGACGACAGCAGACAGCAGGUGUUUCUGCAGAUGGACAGCCUGAGAACAGAAGACUCUGCUGUUUAUUACUGUGCUCGACACCCACAGUGA